CUUUUCCCGCCAUUUAUGAAAAUCACACGUAAAAUGACGUUUAUGUUUAUUCUAUCAAAUGAAGAUGUCAAGAAUAGAAAAUGUUUUAAGAACAAGAAAGUGCGUUUAAUAACUUCAUCAGAGUGGUGCAGUAUACCGACGUGUCUUCGCUGGCGGCAAUCGAAGUCUCGUCGAAUUGUAUCGAGUUCGCGUCGUAUGUCGUGGACGCGGUAUCGUCGAUGUCCCUCGUCGCGUCCGGAGACACGUCGCAGUCGAGGGUCGAUGUGGUGGUCGCGUCGGGAGACGACGGAUUGUUUAGAAUGUGAUAGCUAAGCUAGAAGGAGUUGAAGGAAUUUAACACUAAUUAUACCAAUACUUACUGGUA